GUUCCUUGCACAACGGAUCAUGGCUCUGCAGGGACAGGGACCAGGAGCAGGUGGGCCACUGGGACUCCUAUACCCACAGGGCCUCGUCCAACUCGCCUGGAUUUCCCUGCAGGAUCCAAAGUCAGGAACAAGUCAAAGCUGCUGCUGUGGCCCAGUGCACGCCAUUGUCCCCUGACCACCUCAGCCGGCCAGAUUCCCCCACUGCUGCUGAGCAUCGGCCUGCGCUCAGAGGAGCAAGGCAGGGUGGUCCCUGUUCUUGUCCUGGUGUGCUGGCAGUGGCCCAGUGGCCUGAGCGCCUGGGGAAGAUCUGGAGGCAACUAACAGGGGUGCUCUUUCCCUCUGGGGUGUGGAGGGUGGAUUUUGUUGGUUCCGUACUGCCCAUCCAGGGGUUCGGUUGGCCCUCGAGGUCUGGUUUCCGCUCAGGGUGUGGAUAUUCAGGGUGGGGGUGGUCUCUGCAGGGUGCUGUGAAUUCCCCGCUUCCGCUGGAGGCAAGAGGAGAGCAGCUGCCCACAGCAGGAAGUGGGGUCUGGGCGGGCAGGGCGGGAUGCCGCUGGGCAGUUGCUUGUCUUUGAUGUUGGGGCUGCCCCCUCCCCCUCCUUGACCACUGGACAGCUGAGAGGGAGGUACUCGGCACGUGCGUCAUUUUCCAGGAAAGCAGUGGCCACCAAAGGUCACCCCAUGGAUUCUGAGUGGGGGCCCAGGGGCUCUGGAGCCCCUUCUGGGUGGUGUCUGCUCUGAGACCUGGGACUGGGCCCCGUGCCUCAUCUCUAGACCUGGUGGCCAUCUCUCGGAUACCAGCCAGGUGGCCCUUAAGCUAGAGUCCCACCCUGGGGCCAAGCUGACCACUCCACCACCACGAGGGAAGGUGGCUGGAGAACUGGUGACCAGGAGAGCAGGGGGAAAGAAAUGUCCCACCUGCACGUGUGAACAGGGGAGGACAGAGGAGCCUGACCCACAACAGGCACUAGGAAAGUCUUGAAAAAAGAUGGUAAUUAUUUUUUUAAAGUUAAAGUCAUUAACAAAUAACAUCUAUCUUUUUUGUUGUGAGAGAUUAGAUGUUUAUUGUAGAAAAUCUAGACAUGGCAGAGAAGGACAAGGAAAAGCUUAUGUUGCACCUUGUUAGCUGAGGGCGUCACACACGCAGGGGCACUCAGCAUAGGCACACUGGAUUCACACCACCCUGCAGACACAGCACACGCCCCUCUUAUCUCCACUUAAAAUCCCACAAUGAGCAUUCAUCCAUGUCUUUGAAAACAUAAAUUAUAAUAACUACCCACGGUUCCCAGGAAGGGCUGAACAAUCUGUUUAAUUCCUGACAACAGGCCGUGCACAAUUUAGUUCACACAAAUUAAAGCAAGUUUGUCUCAGGACAAAGUAAGAGAAGUGCCCCUCUGGGCCUCUAUUCCCCAUCUGGCGGGUGGGAGAGCCCGGCCUUCUCUUGGGUGGCUGGUGUGGGAAAGGCCUGGCGAUUCACCUGUGAAGGGUUGCAGCUCAGAAGUUUUGCAUAACUGUCCCUAAUUGUCAUAAUUUGCUCAUUUGGGGCAAUUAGUGAUCUGAAAGCCACCUGGAGAGGAACAACACGAGGAGAUCAUCUGGGAGUUGGGCUUUGGUUCUGUCCUGAGCUGGUGUGUGGAGGUCCAGGAGGCCCGAGGUGAAGGAUCCGCCAGUGACAUUCUGUCCCCUGUGGGCUGUGAUAACCGUUGAUGCUGGUGACACUGAGGGUGGGAAGGACGGUGUCACAGGGCUGGGAUGGAUGACCGGGGCCUUUCAUCUCUACUUUCUUUUGUUCCCUGAUUUUAAUCUUCUAGAAUAAAUAGAUGGUUGACCAAGAUGGUCCUCUGAGGCCAACUUGGUGUCUUUGGAGUCCUCACAGUGGCCAGCAGCCAUGGCUCCUGCCUUGGGUUUCUCAGGGGUCCUAACCCCUGAGCCGGGAGGAGAGGCUUCCCGGGGUUUUUGUGACCACGGGAUUGACACGUGCGUGCCACAGUUUGAGGAAACAUAGCUUCAAGUCACCUGUGGAGGGACGGUGACCCUAGCUGCCGUCUUCCCUUGUGUCGGGACGCAUGGCUGGGCAUGGUGCGCUCUCCAGGGAAGAGGUAAAGGUAGAAUGUCUGCAGGGGGCACGGUCCUGGGGAGUUCAGGACUGGGGCAGCCGUGCCUGUGGGAGCAGUGUCUAUGGCGGCAGUCCUCCGUGGAAAUUCUCCAUGUGCUCUUCUGUUUUCCAGAACAUUCCAUGUUUUGUGGGUUGUACCAGAGACCUGUGAGGGUGGUAACGAUGACUUGGGGGGCUUCAUUCCUCAUUCGCCUUGCUCCCUGGGCCUGGCUUUGACUGUUCCUCUUUAGGAGUGUGCGGGGGCAGCGGGUGAUGGGAGAGGGUGGGCUUGGCCCAUUCCUGGGUUCAGACCUUGCCUGAGGGACAGACUUGAAUCGGGGGUAGCUGGGGGUCCUGACUGAUGGGGACAUUGGCGAGGGUCCAGGGACUACAGAAGACAAGCAAGGGCAUGUCCCACACAGCCUCCAAGGUAAUGGCCCAUCCCAAGGCCAGGAGGACCCCCUGUAUUUACUGUCAGACUUUGAAGAAAUUGGGACGGUUCUUGAACCUGGCUUGACCUAACAGAGCGGGGGUGUGUGGAGGGCACUGCACACCCCCUUCUCCACAGGCCGAGUGCUCGCCCCACUGUCCCUGUAGCACAGGUCUCACUGCAGAUGUCCAGCUGAGUGCUCUGGCCAGCUCUGGUCAGGUCUUGACCCACUGACCUCUGUUUCACUUCUCUUGUCUAGGCUUCGAAAACAUGGGCCGGCCUGUCUUCCUCUUACCGAAAUAUCUCAUCUGAGAUGUUGGGUGCCCCCAAGUGCUGAGAGCCAUAGCCCAGUCGGAAUGACGCAUGGCAUUUUUGCCAGAACGGAGUGGUUGAGAGGUGACGCCAGCAAGCCAUUGAGAUGAUGAUGGUUACGUUAAGCUGUGGAUUCAUUUGUAUAUUAGACCCCUGCUGUCCGCCUGGGCCUGCUACUUUGGAGUUCUCCCACUACUUGGAGUUCUCGCAGGGAUUCCGGAGAGUUCCCAUUGGUUGGGGAAGUGCCGGAGGAGGGAUUUUGGAGGAGGGAUUUCCGGUGUGGGGGGUUUCUGGAAGGGCCGCGUGGGUGGCGUUGGUGAAAAAGCGCGCGUGCAGUGCCGGUGAGGGUUGAAAUAAAGUAGUUGCUGUUUGAACCUACAAGGCUUUGUGGCGGCUGGGUUUUUCGUGGCCAGCCAGACUGCGGCACCCAAGUUCCUUUAUCUCUGAAACAGUGGACUCAUUAAAAGUGGGAGCAUGCUUUCCCAGGACUUAACUGACAAUCCAUGGAGGAGUUCAGCAAGAAUGUUCUAGAAUGUCACUGUAGACUUUUCCAUUUCACCU
rnacentral:lncRNA from 1 species